rnacentral:rRNA from 1 species
GAUGAACGCUGGCGGCGUGCCUAAUACAUGCAAGUCGAGCGAACAGACGAGGAGCUUGCUCCUCUGACGUUAGCGGCGGACGGGUGAGUAACACGUGGAUAACCUACCUAUAAGACUGGGAUAACUUCGGGAAACCGGAGCUAAUACCGGAUAAUAUAUUGAACCGCAUGGUUCAAUAGUGAAAGACGGUUUUGCUGUCACUUAUAGAUGGAUCCGCGCCGCAUUAGCUAGUUGGUAAGGUAACGGCUUACCAAGGCGACGAUGCGUAGCCGACCUGAGAGGGUGAUCGGCCACACUGGACCUGAGACACGGUCCAGACUCCUACGGGAGGCAGCAGUAGGGAAUCUUCCGCAAUGGGCGAAAGCCUGACGGAGCAACGCCGCGUGAGUGAUGAAGGUCUUCGGAUCGUAAAACUCUGUUAUUAGGGAAGAACAAAUGUGUAAGUAACGAUGCACGUCUUGACGGUACCUAAUCAGAAAGCCACGGCUAACUACGU